CUUUAGAACAUUUAUUCUGCAGAUUCAGAUGCCUUGCACGCCCUGUGCUUCAUAGCUAGGAAUUGCCCAGCAGGUGCUGCGUGUCAGUAUUGAUGAUCCAGCUCCUCUAGCUUGAGUGCCUUGUGUGUGACACAUAUUGGCUGUCCAGAAGAAAGGUGCAGCACUGCUGAGAUGCACACACAGAUGCACAAACAUAUAUAUAUGUGUGUGCCAGAUGUGUAGAGUGAGUCACUAGGGCCAUUUUGAAUGGUUCAUAAUGCUUGGCUUUUGAUGGCAUCUAUCAGCUGUGGUUCCAGAGGUGACUUCAUGCCAUAGUGAGGCCAGCCUGAGCACUGACAAGGCAAGCCUCUUACUUAAAGCUAGCAGUGAUUAAGAGCUGGGAGUCAGCAACCAAGGCAUUGCUCUGACAGGCAGGCAGCCUUGCCUUCCUUGAAUGGGAGAUUUGUAGUCAGAUUCAAGGGGUCAUGGGAGAUUGUAGGUCCUGUUCUUCACAUGAAGGAGAUCUGGAAGAUCUCACACUGUAAAGAUGCUCCCUGGGUACCUUACCUUUAUUUAUACAGGCAUGAACAUUAGCAGCCUUGCUGGAAGCAGAAUUUAGCACUGUAUUUGGGAAGCACAGACAGAUCCUUAUGUCCUUCUGUCCCUUCCUUUCAGUUUGUGUCAUGCUCGUAUGUCGUUGGAGAGAUUUUUCUUUAACCUGUUGGGAUCUCCAGGCUAGCGUAAGGAAUACGUUGGUUGAUGGAGAACAGAUGGAGAAUGGUGGAGACGAGUGCAGAACUUAAACUGAGUUCACUUGCCAACUAAAAAAGAAGCCGAUGCAUUUUCCAUUUCUGGUACUUUCACCAAAUGCCCACAGAGUGUUUGCAUGUGCCUUUGAAGAAGAGAGUGUUUGUCAUCCACACGAGGCAGGCAGGGACACUGAAGCAAGCUCUCUACAACUCACCGAAGCCAGGGAGAAGGCCAGAUACUGCUGGUGCCCUGAGCAGAGAAUAUCUCAGCUAUGAUUUAAUUCGUGGGGUCGGGCCCUGAGGGAAUGCCAUCUGCCUGUUGGAAAAGCCUUCUGCCAUCUGAGGGUGGCAAGCUCCCUGUUUUGAGGGGUGGCUGAGAUUUUGGAAACAUCGCUUUGAGGUUUGAUUGUUGUUGCAGUGAAGAGAGAGAACAGCACUGAACCUGUUUCAUGAUGUGACUGCAAACUUCCUGCUGCCGGCUCUGUUCUUUCUCACUGCAGUCACCUCUCCUAGGAAUGCACAGGGAUCUCACACCCUGUUUGCUAUUGCUGCUACACCCCUCCCAAGAUAGGUUUGAAUUGCCCUACAACUGGAAAGCUGAUGUUGGAUUUAAGCCACCCUGCUUCCCAUGCAAGGACUUCUCCCCCUUGAGGCAGGGGUGGAUGUGGGGAGAAGCUUCACCAAGGGCCAGCCCUGCCCAUCUGACUGUUUUCUUUGUUUGUUCUCAAGGUGGAUUACAACGUUCCCAACAAUUAAGUCACCUGACUAUAUAGUGCUGAUAUUGGCAACCACCCAAAGGAAAACAGAAAGUUUAACAUGAUUAAAGAAGGUCCGAAUGAUGAUGGCACAGUAAGUUUUCUUUGUGUGUCUUACAGUGAACAGUGCAGCAAAGCAGAGAGUUUCAGGGACCAGAGAUCAAUCUGCUGUGUGGACACUGCUGUCAAAACAGCUCUUUAAUCACUUUGCCAGCAGUCAGGCUGGUUUUUCAUCAUUGUGUAUGAAGAUCUGAUGUUCACAGUCUGCUGCAAUCCCCAAAGAGAGCAAUUGCAUCCAGCUGAGGUUCCAGAACUACAGGGCAUAAAGGGACCAGAUAUCCACAGCCCUUGGGCACUGAACAGUGCCUCUGUCUUCCAAGUAGGAGGAACUCUGGUUGAGACCUACCCACAGCCAGCUGUGGAGAGACACAUCAGCCAGAGGCUUGUGAGCUCUUGGAACAUUAGGAGGGGUUGGAAGGGGUCUAGAUCAACAAGGCCUGGACUCCCAUGGCUAUGUCCAACCACAGCUUGAAGGUGGAUCUACCCUCUAGAAUGGGGACAGAUGAAGAUCUGGAUCUUAUGACACAUCAAGCACGUGUCAGACUUACAUCUGCUGACUGAGCUGCUUUUCUUGGGGAUGGAUAAGGAAAGAAAGUGCUUAUGAGUACAGGAGGAAGAGAAGGAAAUGAAUGUAAUCACUGGCAUACUUAAGGGUUGGUUUUUUUGUUUGUUUGUUUGGGUUUUUUUUGCCUUCCUUAUGCAUCUUCCUGAAUAAAGGUACUUUCUGGAGGCUCAAAUUUAGUUGUUAGGCAAUAUACAGUGAAGAAUGAAACAUCUCCAUUUCAGGUUUUAAUUUCAAGGUGCGGUACCAAAGUUCUCAGACUGUCUUCCUUUGACACGAGUGGAAAGUUUUGCUGAAGAAAAGACUUCUGCUUUCAGUCAUGCUAUUGAGGGGCCUGGAUUACAGCUUCUUUGUUUAAGAAUGCAUCACAAAUCAGAGAAAAGACUCUGUGAAGGAACCUCUCAGUGAAGCACUGGUUUGUAUCACAGAAUUGUAGGGGCUGGAAGGGACCUCUAGAGAUCAUCUAACAUAUUUGAGGCAGUGAUGGAACUUAAAUCCCAGAAGUUCCUCAUUUAAUCAGGAGUCACCCCUUUCAUUGCCACACUGUGGAAGAACCUCCCCACUUAAUCCCCUAAGACUGAGCGUGGGUUGGAAAUACAAGCCCAAUCUUACCGGAAAACCAGGUUUCCCAAGUCCAAGACAAGAACUGGUCCUGUCAGGUCUCCCCUUCUUUUUGCCUCUUAUCUGGGGGGUAGAUGAGCCACAUGCACAUUUUUUUCUUUAAUACUGCACGCCAAGGCUAUUUGUGUCCAGCUUUGUGACCAGACCUUUACUCUUCAGCAUCAGGAAAUAUCUCACUGUUCCUCUUUCAUUUGCAGCAGGGAAGAAGUCCUCACCCCAAGGGCAGGAGAAGACCUGCACACAUACCAGUGCAGCACAAGGAAAGAGGGAUAGAUUACUUUUCUCUUAAGAAAGAUGUAUGAUGAAGGCCAGAGAAGAGCCCAAUGGGAGCAUCUGCCAUUGGAUAUGCAAAUGUAAGAGCCAGUCUAUUUGAAGUUUGGCAACACUAAAGUAAGUAGGGAUCUGCCUCUUUCAGUGUUCCUGUGGACACAAGUGCAAGCAGAUAUUUGGAGGUUGUGUAUGAGUACUGAUUGGAUCCUGUAUUUUCACUUUGGUGCUGAAGCUGCUGCUAUGAGUUCUUAGGCUGCCUGAGCACAACCUCAGAAGUGCUAUUGGUCUGAAGGCUUUUAUGACUAGAGUGUUUUAUCUUCCUCAUUUUCACCGAUGCAACAGAGAUCCAAAAGUACAGUGAGACUUCAGAGGGCACUGUGUUGUCUGUAGUACUUUAAAGAAACAACAUGCUUUUUGAAAGUGGUCUAGAGUCACUGCAGCACCUGGGCUGCUUUUGGUACCAGCAUGGAAGCAGGAAACUGUUCAGCUCAGCACCAGCGACCAGUCUAAAACAGUCUUGCAGCCACUUCAAGCAUUUUGGUUUCGUGCAGAACUGAAGAGUCAGAGAACAGGGAGACAGCUGUGCUGUCAUGGAGUAUAGGUGAAGAGCCCAGAUCUGAACUCCUCAGCCACAGAGGUAGAGUCCUCUCAUUGGAAGGGGCUCAUUGGAAAUUAACUACUGCUAGGGAUCCAUUUGGACCUCCUUGGUAAAGAAUAGCACCAAAGUUCUGUUACAUCUAUGAACACUUGAAGUAGGUAGAUAGGUUCAGGACUGCAUUGAAAAAAGAACCAACAGACGGUUGGAUUGGAUGAUCUUGUAAGUCUUUUCUAACCUUGGUGAUUUUAUGAUUUUAUGAGAAGAAAACAAGUGAUGUGAUGUGAUCAUUGAUCCAAGGAGACCU